rnacentral:lncRNA from 1 species
GUGGCUCUGGAUGAGAUUAGCAUUUGAAUUGGCAGACUGAGUAAAGCAGAUUGCCCUCCCUAAUGUGAAUGGCUCUCAUCCAUUCAAUUAAAGGCCUGAAUAGAAUAAAUAGGCUAAUUCUUCUGUGAAAAGCGGGGAACUCCUCUUGCCUGACUUCUUUGAGCUGGGACAUUGUUUUUUUUCUGGCUUUUGGGCUUGAACUGAAACAUCAGUUCUUCCUGGGUCUCAAGCCUGCCAGCUUUCAGACUGGAACUACACCAUUGGCUCUCCUGGUUCUCAGGCCUUCAUACUCAGACUGGAACUACACAUCAGCUCUCCUGGGUCUCCAGCUUGCUUUCAUGCGCGUCCGUGUGAAGAGAGCACCAAACAGGCUUUGUAUGAAGGUCACCUUUCCCAGGUUACUGAGUCCCUUCUUUUCUGCUAGGAGAAGCUUUGCCUCAGUCUCAUAUCAGCCACAUACUACUGGGAGAUACUUGGGAUGGAGAGUUCUGGAAGAGAAUGCUCAAGGUUCCAUGGAUCCCCCCAGCUUCCUGCUUCAUACAUUCACUAUGGGAGCCCUGGCCACAAUUUUUAUAUCCUUGAACAAAUACAUCAUUUUCCUGUAAUGCUAAAAGAGAAGAGUUCAUAAGCUUUGGAAUAAAAGUUAUAGGCAAAAUAUUUAAACUUGUUUUUUAUAUAUGUAUUUUUAAUGGUUAUUGGGGUCCAUCUCAGUAGGGAUUGACACUCUGCCUCAUUGCAGGGAAAGUCCAAAAGUUUCUGUUAGUGCUAUGUAAAUGAGAAAGUUCUGGAGCUUGCAGGUAUUUCCUGACUGUCCACAGUGAUGCAUUUGUUAGCUAACAUUUUGUUAGUUGGCCUUUUCAUAUAUGAACUGUGCCCUGGGCUGUCAAAAUGAUCUGGAUUCAAACUUGGCUCUGCUAUGUCCUGUCUGUGAGUCCCUGGAUUAUUUACUUAACAGUUCUAAGCCUCUUUCUUCUCAUCUGUUAACUGAGAGACUGUGGUGCCUGCAUCAUGAAGUCUCCAAAUUCCUGAAUGGAGACACUGCACCUUUUCUCCUUGUAUCCUCUGACAAGUUUGAACUUUACCAGAACCCUGUGAUCCUGGAAAACAGAAAAGGUUAAUAAAUGCCCCCACUGCUUUGUGUUCCAGAAAGGGCUUUGUGCAGCUAACCAUUAUUCCCCAUGUGACUUAAAUCAGAUUCACCAAUGCUGCCUUGUGGGCAUUGAUAUGGUUCAAAUGUUUUGUCCCCUUCAAAUCUCAUGUUGAAAUGUGACCUCUAAUGUUGGAGGUGGGGCCUGGUGGGAGGUGUUUCGAUCAUGGGGGUGGAUCCCUCAUGAAGGGCUUGGUGCUGUUCUUGCAGUAAUGAGUGAGUUCUUGAUUUUAGUUCUCAUGAGAUCUGGUUGUUCAAAGAGCCUGGCACCUCCUCCUUUCUCUCUUGCUCCCUCUCUUGCCAUGUGGCGUGCCUGUUCCUACUUUGCCUUCUGCCAUGAUUGUAAGCUUCCCAAGGCCCUCACCAGAAGCAAAUGCUGACACUAUGCUUCUUGUACAGCCUGCAGAACUGUGAACCAAAUGAACCUCUGUUCUUUUUAAAUUACCCAAUUUCACAUAUAUUUUUGUAGCAACACAGAGUAAAUAGCCAUCAACACUUAUAACAAGGCCAGACGCAGACCCUCUAAAUUCCUUUUGUUUGUCUCAUAAAUGAUAUUAGCUAAGCUGUUUUGUCCCCACUGAUCAAUCAGAAAAAAAUGCAGGCUAAACCAACUUUGGUUAAGAUUCUUUGCUUCUCCUAGGCUGAACUUUGUCCCGCCCUCAGCCUCAGCCAGCACACAGCUCCUCCUCCACAGCCUCUCCCUGGAGUACGCUGCAGAGUUCAGGGUAAAAUAUUCCCUCAUCUACUGGCAGAUCGUGUCACUCCUGUCAUGGUACUUCUCCACACCUGGUUCUUUCUAGCCUUGUCUAUUCUUUCCUAUGAAAGAGAAUCUCUUUUUUCCUAACCCUUGAGAUACUUCCAGAUCUCAUGAUAAGAAUGUUCUCCAAACUACAACAGCCCCUUUCUCCUUACUGUAAUGGUCCAGUCUCCCUCUUGCACUAAUCCUUUCGAAUAAAGUCUCUUUAUUUUAUUUUAUUCUAUUUUAAGAUGGAGUCUUGCUCUGUUGCCAGGCUGGAGUGCACUGGCGUGAUCUCAGCUUAUUGCAAUCUCCGCCUCCCGGGUUCAAGGAAUUCUCCUGUCUCAGCCUCCCCAGUAGCUGGGACUACAGGCCCAUGGCACCACGCCCAGCUAAUUUUUGUAUUUUUAGUAGAGACUGGGUUUCACCAUUUUGUCCAGGAUGGUCUCGAUUUCUUGACCUUGUGAUCCGCCCGCCUCGGCCUCCCGAAGGGCUGGGAUUACAGGCGUGAGCCACCCACCGCACCCAGCCUGAAUAAAGUCUCUUCUUACCUAAGUGCCAAAUUGUUUUUGGACAUUCUCAGAGUGUUUAAAAAUGCAUGCUGUAUUGAAUUAAAAUAUGUUAUUAGCUCAAAAUUCAAUCACAAAAACUGUAUUAAGCAAUUAAUAUAUGAGGAAUAAGUUGUAUCAGAUUUUGCCAGAGCUUCCCUGACACAUGCAAAUUCAUGGUUUGGUUGGGUAGAAUAGACACAAAUGCUCUCAGUUAAAUAACAAAAGAAGAGUAAAAUAACACAAGCAUAGUAGGUGAUAAAGGCAGUGUGAUUAAUCUCUGAGUAGCAAAGAGAAUUAUUCUUUUGAGUUCCAAGGAAGCAGAGCUCAUAGUUUUGAGGUUUAAAUUUGGGCUUGGGUGUUUUUAGUAACUUUGGAUGAAGAACACAAGUUUUAUUUUCCCACCUGAGUGCAGAAUGGUAAGUGUGGAUUGUAGAGCAAAGGAAAUUAACUUCCACCAGUGGGAUUUUGAUCCUCUGAUAUCAGAAUGUGUCACAGCCUGCAGAGAUUAAAUUUCUCAGCAUUAGGUGUAAACAGACACUCACUCCCAUGACUUUGCUUUCAAAAAAAUUAGCUGACAUUUAAGCUUGAAAUAGCCAUGUUGUUGCACCCACUAUUUAAUUCAGAUAUAUCACAGAUGCUGCAUUUGGAUGUUUAUUCUAUAAAAAAAACUGUGUAAAAGUGGAUUGGUUGGAAGAGUUGUAAUUACUCAGAUAGGAUCAGGAAAGAAUAUGGGAGAAGGUAAAGGGGGAACUCCAUCUCACCACUGUGCUGGGUGCCUGAAAGAUGUCACAACAUUUAAUUCCCAUAAUAUUUCCUUAAAGUAGGUGCAUAUUUCCCCAUAGUGAAGGUGCGGAGAGCUCUUGGUAAGGAAUAACUCUUCAAGUAGAGAAAUAAGAUAAGAAAUGACCAUUGACUUUCCACACCAGUUAACUUUUCAUAGUACCUUAGUUUUGGCUUGGAAUUCUGAUAUGGUGGUGAGGGUUCUAAAUCAUUAGUAUGAAAUAAGAGUAUCCUCAGCAUAGCAUUAAACAGAAAAUUGCUUUGAGGGCAGAGAAAUUCUUGGGAUCCUGCAGAAAAGACAAAUGUGGUAUAUUAUAUUUAGUAAUUGCUUGCUGUAAUGGGUACAAGAGGUUAUACCUGUUACAAUGAUUAAGAAAUACAGUCCCUAAAGAAAUGGAAUGCAAUGUUCUACUUAAAGGAGGACACUAGAAUAAAUAUGAUUUCACAGUCCAUACUUUUAGGGUUGUAUUUUUCUAAUUAUAACACCAAACUGUAGUUCCUUUAAAUAAAUACCUGAAGAUGUAAAGACACAACUUAUAUUAACUGCUAAUGUAUUCCUCAGUGCCCAAUUGUGAUUCUUAUAUUCAGCUCUGCAUUCUGCUUUUUAAUUCCACUUGUUGUAGAUUUUUGUAUUAAGGUAUAUAUUUUAGUGUCUCUUUGUUCUGCUAACAUGAAAUGUGUUAUGAUUUAUUCAAUCAUCCCUAUAAUAAAGAUUAAAGUUUUUUCUGAGUUUCCAGAAACAGCAC